rnacentral:lncRNA from 1 species
AUUUGACCAUCUAAAAAUCCAAAACAUUAAGAAUUUAGAUUUUCUUUCAAUACUUCAUAAGAUGCAUGAAGAAAUCAUCGGGUAGAGAAAAAAAAAAGAGAAAGAAAAGAAAAAAGUCUUAAAAAUUUAAAGCUUGAAAAGGGCAUUUGUUUUUUUGUUUAACCCUUUGUUAAAGGAAACGAAAACGUGAAGUAAAAGGCACG